rnacentral:rRNA from 1 species
UACGUAGGGUGCGAGCGUUGUCCGGAAUUAUUGGGCGUAAAGAGCUCGUAGGCGGUGUGUCGCGUCGGUCGUGAAAACUUGGGGCUUAACCCUGAGCUUGCGGUCGAUACGGGCAUCACUGGAGUUCGGCAGGGGAGACUGGAAUUCCUGGUGUAGCGGUGAAAUGCGCAGAUAUCAGGAGGAACACCGGUGGCGAAGGCGGGUCUCUGGGCCUUACCUGACGCUCAGGUGCGAAAGCUAGGGGAGCGAACAGG